UCUUGCAUGAUUUUCUUGGAUUUUAAGCAUUUUUUGUGCCUACUUAAGUUCAAUAAAAAAUUUUCCUCAAAUAGUUUCCAAUUCUAUCCUGUUUUUUGCUGGGUGAAAAUAUUUGCACAGGUAAGGAAAUUAGCAAGUAUACAUGUACCAAAAUAUACCGUUCCCUGUUCAGUUGUGCUUUGGUUCAUUUUGGACAUUCUGGUCUAUUUUAAAAUGUUUUCUUCUGUAGAUGGAUCAAUAUAAUUUUCUUGUUUUUUUAUUUGGGUUUCUCUUCCUUUCUUGAAAUUGAUGAGAUUUCUAUUCAUUAGAAAAAUAGAAUGUUUCUCUUCCAAUAGAACAAAAACAAAUUCUCAUCGUGUACAACUCAACUGCCAUUAUGUUUGUUGAUCUAUGGCUGAGAAUUAUAAUUUCUGAAGUUUCCUUCAUGGUUGAUUAGGCAGAAAGAGUGCUUUUGACUUUUAAUUUUCUUUUUGGUAUUGAGAUACGUCUAAUAUUGGGUGGGGGAAAUCCAAUUUCUACAUCUAGUGAUGAGAAUGAAGAAGAAGAGUUUGGAUUUCAUUUUCCUUUCUUCUUUAUACUUGGAAGUUGGGUUUAAUAUUGCUCAAGUCAUUAGGGUAUAAUCCAUGAAUGGAGGAUUUCAUUUUUCCAUGCUUGGGCCGCCAACCAAAAACAGAGUUCUCAACCUGUGGCUGGCCAUGAUUUAGAUAAUGCUAAGCACAAUUUGCAAAACAAAUCUACAGCUUUGAGAAACUUUGCAGAAGUUUUAUAACCCAUUCGUCGGUUUCAAAUAUCGGAGGCCAUAUGCUGGUUGGACCAGAUUUUGCUUUUGGGAAAACAAAUACAAGGUGUCUUUCUGUCUUUCUUUCU